rnacentral:rRNA from 1 species
AUGAACGCUGGCGGCGUGCCUAAUACCUGCAAGUCGAGCGAACAGACGAGGAGCUUGCUCCUCUGACGUUAGCGGCGGACGGGUGAGUAACACGUGGAUAACCUACCUAUAAGACUGGGAUAACUUCGGGAAACCGGAGCUAAUCCCGGAUAAUAUAUUGAACCGCAUGGUUCAAUAGUGAAAGACGGUUUUGCUGUCACUUAUAGGUGGAUCCGCGCCGCAUUAGCUAGUUGGUAAGGUAACGGCUUACCAAGGCAACGAUGCGUAGCCGACCUGAGAGGGUGAUCGGCCACACUGGAACUGAGACACGGUCCAGACUCCUACGGGAGGCAGCAGUAGGGAAUCUGCCGCAAUGGGCGAAAGCCUGACGGAGCAACGCCGCGUGAGUGAUGAAGGUCUUCGGAUCGUAAAACUCUGUUAUUAGGGAAGAACAAAUGUGUAGGUAACUAUGCACGUCUUGACGGUACCUAAUCAGAAAGCCACGGCUAACUACGUG